AGUUGAUCAUGGCUCAGGACGAACGCUGGCGGCGUGCCUAACACAUGCAAGUCGAACGGGGAUUUGUUUCGGCAGAAUCCUAGUGGCGAACGGGUGAGUAACGCGUAGGCAACCUGCCCCCCGGAUUGGGACAACACGCCGAAAGGUGUGCUAAUACCGGAUACGAAGACGGGAUCGCAUGGUUCCGUUUUGAAAGAUGGCCUCUAUUUAUAAGCUAUCGCCGGGGGAUGGGCCUGCGUCCGAUUAGCUGGUUGGUGGGGUAACGGCCCACCAAGGCAACGAUCGGUAGCCGGUCUGAGAGGAUGAACGGCCACAUUGGGACUGAGACACGGCCCAGACUCCUACGGGAGGCAGCAGUGGGGAAUCUUCCGCAAUGGGCGCAAGCCUGACGGAGCAACGCCGCGUGGGUGAGGAAGUUUUCGGAACGUAAAGCCCUGUUGUACCCGACGAAUGUAUAUCCUAUGAACAACGGGAUAUAAUGACGGUAGGGUACGAGGAAGCCACGGCUAACUACGUGCCAGCCGCGGC
rnacentral:rRNA from 1 species